GCAGACACAUUCCAGCCAAUCAGCAGCAGACCCUCCCUCCCAGACCCUCCCACUUCCUGGACAGCAUCCAUUUUACAUUCAUUGUGAAGCUGCAUUCUUAGUGAGCUGUCCAGGAGGUGGGAGAGUCUGGGAGGGAGGGUCUGCUGCUGAUUGGCUGGAAUGUGUCUG